AUUGAACGCUGGCGGCAGGCCUAACACAUGCAAGUCGAACGAGCGGCGGACGGGUGAGUAAUGUCUGGGAAACUGCCCGAUGGAGGGGGAUAACUACUGGAAACGGUAGCUAAUACCGCAUACUAUCGGAUGCGCCCAUAUGGGAUUAGCUAGUAGGUGGGGUAACGGCUCACCUAGGCGACGAUCCCUAGCUGGUCUGAGAGGAUGAUCAGCCACACUGGAACUGAGACACGGACCAGACUCCUACGGGAGGCAGCAGUGGGGAAUAUUGCACAAUGGGCGCAAGCCUGAUGCAGCCAUGCCGCGUGUAUGAAGAAGGCCUUCGGGUUGUAAAGUACUUUCAGCGGGGAGGCGUUACUCGCAGAAGAAGCACCGGCUAACUCCGUGCCAGCAGCCGCGGUAAUAC
rnacentral:rRNA from 1 species